rnacentral:rRNA from 1 species
UUUCGCAAUGCCCGAAAGGGUGACGAAGCGACGCCGCGUGUGGGAAGAAGGCCUUCGGGUUGUAAACCACUGUCGGGAGUUAAGAAAUACAAGGGUAUUAAUAGUGUCUUUGUUUGACUAAGGCUCCGGAGGAAGCCACGGCUAACUCUGUGCCAGCAGCCGCGGUAAUACAGAGGCGGCAAGCGUUGUUCGGAAUUAUUGGGCGUAAAGAGCACGUAGGCGGCUAUGUAAGUCGGUUGUGAAAGCCUUCCGCUCAACGGAAGAACAGCAUCCGAUACUACAUGGCUUGAGUGCGGGAGGGGAGAGUGGAACUUCUGGUGGAGCGGUGAAAUGCGUAGAUAUCAGAAGGAACGCCGGCGGCGAAAGCGGCUCUCUGGCCCAUAACUGACGCUGAGUGUGCGAAAGCUAGGGGAGCAAACGGGAUUAGAUACCCCGGUAGUCCUAGCCGUAAACGAUGGGCACUAAGUAGAGGGGUUUU